rnacentral:rRNA from 1 species
AUUGAACGCUGGCGGCAGGCUUAACACAUGCAAGUCGAGCGGGGUGAUGGUGCUUGCACUAUCACUUAGCGGCGGACGGGUGAGUAAUGUUUAGGAAUCUGCCUAUUAGUGGGGGACAACAUCUCGAAAGGGAUGCUAAUACCGCAUACGUCCUACGGGAGAAAGCAGGGGAUCACUUGUGACCUUGCGCUAAUAGAUGAGCCUAAGUCGGAUUAGCUAGUUGGUGGGGUAAAGGUCCACCAAGGCGACGAUCUGUAGCGGGUCUGAGAGGAUGAUCCGCCACACUGGGACUGAGACACGGCCCAGACUCCUACGGGAGGCAGCAGUGGGGAAUAUUGGACAAUGGGGGGAACCCUGAUCCAGCCAUGCCGCGUGUGUGAAGAAGGCCUUAUGGUUGUAAAGCACUUUAAGCGAGGAGGAGGCUCUUUUGGUUAAUACCCAAGAUGAGUGGACGUUACUCGCAGAAUAAGCACCGGCUAACUCUGUGCCAGCCGCCGCAGUAA